UACGGAGGGGGCGAGCGUUAUUCGGAAUUAUUGGGCGUAAAGGGCGCGUAGGCGGCCUUGCAAGUCAAAGGUGAAAUCCCUCGGCUCAACUGAGGAACUGCCUUUGAAACUGCAUGGCUUGAGGCCGGGAGGGGGUAGCGGAAUUCCCAGUGUAGCGGUGAAAUGCGUAGAUAUUGGGAGGAACACCAGUGGCGAAGGCGGCUACCUGGACCGGUUCUGACGCUGAUGCGCGAAAGCGUGGGUAGCGAACAGG
rnacentral:rRNA from 1 species